rnacentral:rRNA from 1 species
UGCGCGUAAAUUGCCCGAAUCCUGACACAGGGAGGUAGUGACAAGAAAUAACAAUACAGGGCUACAUCUAGUCUUGUAAUUGGAAUGAGUACAAUUUACAUCUCUUCACGAGGAUCAAUUGGAGGGCAAGUCUGGUGCCAGCAGCCGCGGUAAUUCCAGCUCCAAUAGCGUAUAUUAAAGUUGUUGCAGUUAGAACGCUCGUAGUCGGAUUUCGGGGCGGGCCGACCGGUCUGCCGAUGGGUACGCACUGGCCGGCGCGUCCUUCCUUCCGGAGACCGUGCCUACUCUUAACUGAGCGGGGGCGGGAGACGGAUCGUUUACUUUGAAAAAAUCAGAGUGUUUCAAGCAGGCAGCUCGCUCUUGCAUGGAUUAGCAUGGGAUAAUGAAAUAGGACUUUGGUGCUAUUUUGUUGGUUUCGAACACCGAAGUAAUGAUUAAAAGGGACAGUC